AUGGCCCCGCCGUGGUGGUACGAGCUCGAACCUAUGCGGAGGUCAAGCCACCGCGUGCAUCCAUGCCGCUGGCCGCACACACAACUCCGUGCGAUAGCCGACGCACGGGUUGCAGCUGUUGUCGUCGGCAACACCCUUCGACUCGCUUGGCGUGGCCGCUGGCCACCCAGACGGCGUCCGCGUUCAGCACUGCUCCCCGUCAUCUCUGCGUCCGGACACGACCUCCAGCCAUCUCAUCGGCCAGCACCAUCGUCCACGUCCGCGGCUGCCACCCAUGAGUUGAGGGGUCCCGUUACCAUGCCGCCUAGCUAUCACCGACAGAGUCUGCUGGUCGCCAUCGACCCCAGCAACGACGCCGCCUGUAUCCCGUGCAGUGCAUGCGGUGGCUGCGCGCCCAAGUCGUCACCGUGA
rnacentral:rRNA from 1 species